GCCUGGCACGGUGGCGCAUGCCUGUAAUCCUAGCCACUUGGGAGGCUGAGACAGGAGAAGGGCAAGUUCAAAACUAGCCCCAGCAACUUAGUAAGGCCCUAAGCAACUUGGUAAGACCCUGUCUCAA
rnacentral:sRNA from 1 species